AAAAAUUCCGUGUUUUCCAUCGGCAAAAAAAAAAAACCCGAGUGUCUCUCUCCCGCGAAGGCGAUCGAUUGACGCUGGAUUAAUGGUUUUCGAUGAGUCGACGCCGUCUCCCCAAAAUUUCUCACUUCCCCUCAUUUCGCUUCGAAGUCAAAAGCCCUAAUUCGAAAAUCCCCUAUUCUUAAGGAUGAAGCAGGAGAUGAGAUCAAGGAGGCAGAACCAAAGGUCUUGUGCAAGUGUCAUUCUUGUUUCACUGUCUUGUCCAAACCAAAGCAUAGUUAAUUCACAUUCUUGUACUCUUUGAUUAAUAAACGAGUAAAAGAAAACAUGUGCAACCAAGAGUUGUUUCUUUUUGUGAAUAUGUAUUGUAAAACCAUGUAUUGUUUUUACCAAAAAAAAAACCAUGUAUUGUUUUACAAAAUUUGAAUUUUUUCUUAGAGAACCCCAUUAGUAGU